CUUUGGACCCUCCCGCGUGCCGUUCUUACCCGGCCUGCCCCGCGCUGCCGCUUCCGGAAGUGGAUCUUGUCUCCUCCCAAGCGGAGCAUUUGUGCCUGAACCUCCCGGGACUGCGACGGCAUCGCAGUGCUGCAGAAUCCCGGGGGCCAAGGGCGCGCUGCUUGCCGCUAUGGCUGGCACUCAGGAUAUAUUCGAUUCCAUCGUGAUGGCGGAUGAGAGGUUUCAUGGGGAAGGGUAUCGGGAAGGCUACGAAGAAGGCAGUAGUUUGGGUGUGAUGGAAGGAAGGCAACAUGGCACGCUGCAUGGAGCCAAAAUUGGGUCUGAGAUCGGGUGCUACCAGGGUUUUGCUUUUGCGUGGAAAUGUCUACUGCACAGUUGCACCACUGAGAAGGACAGCCGAAAGAUGAAGGUCUUAGAAUCAUUGAUUGGAAUGAUCCAGAAAUUCCCUUAUGAUGACCCUACUUACGAUAAACUCCAUGAAGACUUAGACAAAAUCAGGGGAAAAUUUAAACAGUUUUGUUCAUUACUCAACGUUCAGCCAGACUUUAAAAUUAGUGCAGAAGGUUCCGGACUUUCAUUUUGAGAACGAUGGAUGAACAGAGACCGAACAUCGAGGAACAGAUGUGUGUGUGACAUGUUUAGAAAUGCGGCGAAGGGCCAGACGGUGCUGGGAAGGCCAUCGUUCAGUGGGAGGGUGAGGCUUCCGGUUCGGCCGCGGGAGGGCCUCCUUCCCCGGGGUUUUUUGCCUGUGUCAUCUCGGUGCCCGCCGUGGGGCCUCUUCACAAUGCCCUUUGUUGGGCUGAAGCCAUCCCUGGCAGAGCCCUCGCGCGGCUGCUCCCUGCUGGGCCCACGUGCAUUGGCCUGACGGCCUCUUCGGCAGCACAGGCCUGGCUGGCUCUGGCCUGGGGUUGACUCUGGAUAGGGUCAGUCCCCAGGCCUGGACUCGAGGCAGGUUUUUACAUUUUUUUUUGCAAUGAGAGAGACAGUUGGCCCUCAGCGAGGCUCGUGGGAGGUCUGGGCGGGUGCUGUGCCUCAUGUCGAAGCCGAUUGUGCACCAGGCCCUGCGGGACGUGUGUCUCGUGUUUUAUUUAAUCCCUUCAGGAGCCCACGGGGUGGGUGUUAUUCCCAUUUUACAGAGGAAGAAGGUGAGACAAGAAGGGGUUGCCUGGUCUGAGGGCACCCAGCAGCAGAGCUAGGACUUCCGCCCCCAGGCCGUGCCUCACCGCCACCAGCCGCAGCCGCCUCUGGAAUGCACAGGCUGGCACCUCAGCACUGAGAGUCCCUGCCCUCCCUCCCAGGCCGCAUGGGCCCUGCUGAGCCUCGCGGAGCACGGAGGAGUCCAUGGUGGCCAGUUUGCCUGGCCAUCUGGCUGAGAGGAAGAAAGGCCAGCCCGAUCCUGAGGGGACCCGGACAUAUCGUUCACACUGUCCCCAGAGGGGCAAUGAGCUCUGCAGCAUUAAAAAAUGGUGAAGGGGGGAAAUAUUUUGAACCAAAGACCAAAUGUUAGGCCGCCGUUAUAUUUGCAGAAACUGAGAACCGUGUGUACAGGCUCCUACAUUCUCCCCUCUCCUAGGCGCUCUUUGGUCUCUGUCGGUCCUUAACGAGGUGUCAUACAGAGACAGCGGGCUGGGCACAGAUGAGUGGAGUGGAUGGUUCGGUGGGCCCCCACGAGGUGAGUGGUCAUAUGCGAUGGCAUGUGUUCACGCACCCUCCUAUGUGCACCUCAGGGUCACCGAAGUCCCCACACGCUGGCUCUCCCCACCCCUCCUGUUCCAGAAGGCAUGUCUGAAAGCAGUCCACGGGAUUAUUAAGGAGUCACCAUGAAUCCACUUUGGUUUUAAAACCAUUCCCGAAUGUCCUAGUGGAUUGUGCUGUGCUGCCUAAGCUGCUGGCGGCAAGAGCCAGAGCAGUGACUCCCGCAGGAGCAGCGGCGGGCGGACCUCCACGGCGGCAGGGGGACCUCCACGGCGGCAGGGGAACCUCCACGGCGGCAGGGGGACCUCCACGGCGGCUCGGGAGUUGAGAGAGAGCUGCUUUGUUUUUGUUUGUUUUUCGUUUGAGACGGAGUCUCACUCUUUCACCCAGGCUGGGAUGUAGUGGCGUGAUCUCGGCUCACUGUAACCUCCACCUCCUGAAUUUAAGCAAUUCUCCUGCCUCAGCCUCCCUAGUAGCUGGGAUUACAGGCGCCCACCACCACGCCCAAGUAACUUUUGUAUUUUUAGUAGAGAUGGGGUUUUGCCAUGUUGGCCAGGCUGGUCUUGAACUCCUAGCCUGAAAUGAUCCACCCACCUCCACCUACCGAAGUGCUGGAAUUGCAGGCAUGAGCCUCCACUCCCAGCCUGCUUUUUCUUUUUGAAGACAAGACUUAGGUCUCCUCCUUCUGAACUGUAAACCUGCGUGUGUGGCUGUGCACCCCUCAUUUGUGGCCUCACCUCAGGUCUGGGGAAGUCUGCGUUGGGCAUCGCCCCAUUGUGCCUUCAUCAGAGCUGGUGCCUUCGGGCAGAAAGAUUUCCAUUCUUUCUAGAUGGUGGGAUCAGGGGCCUUCGUGGUGUUUCCCUUGGUGGAUUUUUGUGUUUUGGCAUUUCGGAUCUGGAUAUGGAGGAAGACACGUGCCCUAGAUUUCUGCCGGCUCGUCUCCUUAACCCAGCGUAGACACAGCCGCUGCGAGAGUGGUUCCGUUGUGUUAGGGACUGGUCAGCUCCUGCUCACCUGGCCCAGCUAUUACUCAUCCCCUCUCUCCAAGACAUCUCUAUCCCCGCUGUCCCCAACCUUCUCUCCCCUCCUCUUUCUUUUUUUUCUUCUCCCAUCUCUGUCUCCUGUUCUCUCUCCCUACUCCCUCUCUGCCUCUUCGACACAGCUGGCUGAGCAGCAGACUGCCACUUCCUCCUCUGGUUUGCCUCACAGGGAGCCAGGACUGCCUCCUCAUCUUCAAGAUUCUCACACACUCUGCUGGCCUGUGCCUGCCUGGCCCCUUUCUAGAGAACGAGACCCAGUUUCCAGGAUCCCUUGGUCACCCCCGACAUUGUGGUACAGACAGAGCCCACUGUAACAGGUGGUUCCAUCCUAUCCAGGCAGUGCCAUCCUCAGCCUUUACCCUGGGAAUGAGCAUGUCUGUGUCUUCUCUUCUGCUAAUGAGGUGUUAGUAGAGGGUCGACCAGUCCCCAGCACAGUGGGCCCACUCUUAGAAUGACUGUGUUUCUGUGCUGGGUUAAGGAGAUGAGUUGGCAGAAGGUCCUGCGGGGGCUUCUGGGAAAGGUUACGUCAUUCCAAAGAAAAGGUGCUGGUGCUAUUUUGAACAUCAUCCUGUUGGGAUGUGACAGCUAGAACUGCUCCAGUCAUCUUGCAAGCUGGCUACAGCUGAAGCCACCCCGAGCCUGGCAGAGCGAAGAGCUAGGAAGAACCUGCGUCCUCGAUACCACCACGUGCUGUUCCCAGCAGCCCUGAGCCACCUUGCUCGCACCUGUAAGCGCUACCCAUCCCAGUCAUGGAAGGCCGUGGCCCUGGGUUUCUGUUGUUUGCAGACAAAGUCUGCUUGUUGCCUUCCCCAUCCCCAUCAGGCCCAUCCCGUCCCGCUAAUCCUGGAUGUCAGCCUUUGUCCAGAGUGGCCUUGAGUUUGGGAGCUCCUGGGGUUGGAUUGCAUCCCUUGCGGUCGGUUUUCCAAGGCUUUGGCCUGCCCGUUCCUUCCUGUCAGAAGCUCCCAGCGUGUUGUCUGCCACCGUCUCAGCUCGGGCUGCCACCACGGCACCCCUGAUGGGUGACUUCAGCAGCGGUCCACCUUCCCUUCGUUCUGGAGGCUGGAGUCCGAGAUCAAGGCGCCACAGGGCUGCUCCCUCCUGAGGCCUCUCUCCUUGCCUUGCAGACAACUUUCUUCCCCCCGUGUCCUCACGUGGUCGUUCCUCUGUGUGUGUCCUCAUCUCUUAUAAGGACCCCAGUCAGAUUGCAUUGGGGCCCACCCUUCUAGCCUCAUCUGAACUUAGUUACCUGUUAAAGACCUCACUCUUCACACAGUCACAUUCUGAGGCACUGACCCCAGUCAGAUUGCAUUGGGGCCCACCCUUCCAGCCUCAUCUGAACUUAGUUACCUGUUAAAGACCUCACUCUUCACACAGUCACAUUCUGAGGCACAUUCUGAGGCACUGACCCCAGUCAGAUUGCAUUCGGGCCCACCCUUACAGCCUCAUCUGAACUUAGUUACCUGUUAAAGACCUCACUCUUCACACAGUCACAUUCUGAGGCACUGGGGGUUAAGGCUUCCACGUGAGUUUUGUGGGGACACAGUUUAGUCCCUAACAGGACCCAGCUGUGGCUGCUGGAUAGACUGUUGAAUUGGGACUGGGGAGGAAAUAAAGCCAUUUCAUGUAAAAGUU